AUUGAACGCUGGCGGCAGGCCUAACACAUGCAAGUCGGACGGUAGCACAGAGAGCUUGCUCUUGGGUGACGAGUGGCGGACGGGUGAGUAAUGUCUGGGGAUCUGCCCGAUAGAGGGGGAUAACCACUGGAAACGGUGGCUAAUACCGCAUAACGUCGCAAGACCAAAGAGGGGGACCUUCGGGCCUCUCACUAUCGGAUGAACCCAGAUGGGAUUAGCUAGUAGGCGGGGUAAUGGCCCACCUAGGCGACGAUCCCUAGCUGGUCUGAGAGGAUGGCCAGCCAAACUGGAACUGAGACACGGUCCAGACUCCUACGGGAGGCAGCAGUGGGGAAUAUUGCACAAUGGGCGCAAGCCUGAUGCAGCCAUGCCGCGUGUAUGAAGAAGGCCUUCGGGUUGUAAAGUACUCUCAGCGGGGAGGAAGGCGGUGAGGUUAAUAACCUUGCCGAUUGACGUUACCCGCAGAAGAAGCACCGGCUAACUCCGUGCCAGCCGCCGCCGUAA
rnacentral:rRNA from 1 species